UCGAGAAUCUUUCACAAUGGGCGAAAGCCUGAUGGAGCGACGCCGCGUGGAGGAUGAAGGCCUUCGGGUUGUAAACUCCUGUCAUGAGGGAACAAGAAAGUGAUAGUACCUCAAGAGGAAGAGACGGCUAACUCUGUGCCAGCAGCCGCGGUAAUACAGAGGUCUCAAGCGUUGUUCGGAUUUACUGGGCGUAAAGGGCGCGUAGGCGGCAAUUCAAGUCAUCUGUGAAAUCUCCGGGCUUAACUCGGAACGGUCAGAUGAUACUGCUUUGCUAGAGUGCAGAAGGGGCAAUCGGAAUUCUUGGUGUAGCGGUGAAAUGCGUAGAUAUCAAGAGGAACACCUGAGGUGAAGACGGGUUGCUGGGCUGACACUGACGCUGAGGCGCGAAAGCCAGGGGAGCAAACGGGAUUAGAUACCCAUGUAGUCCCUGAGCGGGCUGGCAAGGCGCAU
rnacentral:rRNA from 1 species